rnacentral:misc_RNA from 1 species
CUGCCCCCCCCCGCCUCUCUCUUUCUACACCUUCCCUCCCCUCCUUUUUUGGUCUCAAGUCCACCCCUUCAUCCAUCCCAUUAACCACUUCCUCUCUCCGCCGCCGCCUUGCCGCGCGCCAACAAACCCAAAUCCGCGCAGCUGCAGUUGAGACCCUUGACGCCACCGCUGAGACUUCAUUGGUUGAGAAAUCUGUCAAUACAAUUAGAUUUCUCGCUAUUGAUGCUGUUGAGAAGGCCAAUUCAGGUCACCCCGGUCUGCCAAUGGGCUGUGCUCCGAUGGGUCAUAUUUUGUACGAUGAAAUUAUGAGAUAUAACCCGAAGAAUCCUUAUUGGUUCAAUCGCGAUCGCUUCGUCUUGUCUGCUGGCCAUGGCUGUAUGCUCCAGUAUGCUUUGCUCCACCUUGCUGGUUACGAUAGUGUCAAGGAAGGAGACUUGACGAGUUUCCGUCAAUGGGGAAGCAAAACCCCUGGACACCCUGAGAACUUUGAGACACCUGGUGUUGAAGUCACAACUGGUCCCCUUGGACAGGGUAUUGCAA